rnacentral:ncRNA from 1 species
AAAUCGGGGAGCUUUAAAAAGCUGAGAGGGAUCAGACAUCCGACCCGCUGAACCUGACGGAUAAUGCCGGCGUAGGGAACCUUAUAUAUAU